UUACUGAUGAGGAGUCCCAACAUAGGACGAAACAGCUGUCAAGUAC
rfam:Trichobilharzia regenti genome assembly, scaffold: TRE_scaffold0033588